rnacentral:rRNA from 1 species
GACGGACGCUGGCGGCGUGCUUAACACAUGCAAGUCGAACGCUGAAGACCUGGCUUUUGUUGGGUUGGAUGAGUGGCGAACGGGUGAGUAACACGUGAGUAACCUGCCCUCUUCUUUGGGAUAACGCCCGGAAACGGGUGCUAAUACUGGAUAUUCACUGAUCUUCGCAUGGGGGUUGGUGGAAAGGUUUGUUCUGGUGGGGGAUGGGCUCGCGGCCUAUCAGCUUGUUGGUGGGGUGAUGGCCUACCAAGGCUUUGACGGGUAGCCGGCCUGGGAGGGUGACCGGUCACAUUGGGACUGAGAUACGGCCCAGACUCCUACGGGAGGCAGCAGUGGGGAAUAUUGCACAAUGGGCGAAAGCCUGAUGCAGCGACGCCGCGUGAGGGAUGGAGGCCUUCGGGUUGUAAACCUCUUUCGCUCAUGGUCAAGCCGCAACUGUGGGUUGUGGUGAGGGUAGUGGGUAAAGAAGCGCCGGCUAACUACGUG